UACGUAGGUGGCAAGCGUUAUCCGGAAUUAUUGGGCGUAAAGGGCGCGUAGGCGGCUUUGCAAGUGACGGGUGAAAUCCCUCGGCUUAACCGAGGAACUGCCUGUCAAACUGCAUGGCUUGAGACCGGGAGAGGUGAGUGGAAUUCCCAGUGUAGCGGUGAAAUGCGUAGAUAUCGGGAGGAACACCAGUAGCGAAGGCGAGUCUCUGGGAUGAUGCUGACGCUGAGGCGCGAAAGCCAGGGGAGCAAACGGG
rnacentral:rRNA from 1 species